rnacentral:rRNA from 1 species
CAGGCCUAACACAUGCAAGUCGAGCGGGUGACUUCGGUCAUUAGCGGCGCACGGGUGCGUAACGCGUAAGCAACCUACCUUUGACUGGGGGAUAGCCCUGGGAAACCGGGAGUAAGCCCGCAUGAUGCAAGGGUUUCAAUUGGGACUUUUGCUAAAGAUUUAUCGGUCAAAGAUGGGCUUGCGUCUGAUUAGCUAGUUGGUUGAGGUAACGGCUCACCAAGGCGAUGAUCAGUAGGGGCUCUGAGAGGAGCGGCCCCCACACUGGCACUGAGACACGGGCCAGACUCCUACGGGAGGCAGCAGUAGGGAAUAUUGGGCAAUGGAGGCAACUCUGACCCAGCCAUGCCGCGUGCAGGAAGAAGGCGCUCAGCGUUGUAAACUGCUUUUAUCUGGGAAGAACGGCAGGUCUGCGGACUUGAUUGACGGUACCAGAAGAAUCAGCACCGGCUAACUCCGUGCCAGCAGCCGCGGUAAU